ensembl:lncRNA
AGGGAGGUCUAGCCUUCUGUCGUCGUUUUUCGCUGCUGGAAACAGAAAAUGUGAAAGGCCAAUCAGAUCUUGAGGGGCGGAAUCGAGCCGAAUGACGACAGAGCUGCGACGGUUCCGUGUUAGAGGUAAACAAUAAUGGUUGCUGCUGCUGGCGAAGAGCUGUCUUUCGACUCGGCUUUGGCCGCGACUCUUCAAGACUUGAAGUUAUCAAUUUCUUUGAGAAAUUAACAAAGAACUGCACUGAAGUCUUUCGUGGAAAAGAAAGAUGUAUUCAGAGUUUUUGCCGACCAGAUACGGAAUAUGUGUCGAGUCUGAACAUUUGACGCUGGACCGAGCCCCCAGUCCCGGCGGUGUGCCCCAAGGCAGGCUGUUUGGGUCCCGCUGUUAUACUUUAACCCAAAACCGUCCAACUGAACGUCAUUCCAGGGGCUUUGGUGGGAGCCAUCAACACCUAGUCUCCAACUAACACCAAUCUAACCUUCAGACAGCGGAGUGUGAGGGAUGAAUAUUUCAAAACACAUUCAUCUUAAGGACUAUGUGAGAUCUGAGCAACUCAAAUGCCGUCCUUCAUGGUUUCCAGCUUUGGUUUCAAAUCGAAGUACGACACAAAGUUUUACUCUUGUUAGAGCAUAUGGGAUGAGCUUUGGAAUGCGUGUGUGCCUUUGUCUAUAUGUGUGUGUCUGUGUGUGUGUGUCUGUGCCUGCUUGUUUGUGUGUCUGUGUAUGUGUGUGUGCACGUCGUGCGUGCAUAUGUGUGUUUGUGCUUGUUUCAGUGUACUUGUUUAUGUGUGCGUGCCUGUUCACGUGUGCAUACUUGUUUGUGUGUCUGCAUCUGUGUGUGUGUGUGUGUGUGUUUUUCUUGGUGCGUUUGUGCGCACGCUCACACUCAAUACAAAGAGACGUCCGCGUGAUUUAUGUGCCAUACGAUUUCAAAAGACAAAGGGUGGGCUGAACAGAAGUAAAUGAGAUGAGUCAUGCGCCCUGACGUUUUGUAUCGGGUUAUGAUGAGCGGCCUGUUCGCUCCGACGAUGAAAGAAAUGUGUCAUCUAGCGUUCAGAAAGCUGCGCCUCAGUCUUCAUAAGGCGCCCCAUUCGUCUGUCUGCCUGGGUCCCCUUUGUUAAGUGACGUCUGCUUAUGAAGAUGCCGUAUUGUCCAGCUGUCUGACCUGUCGUCUUCUUUGUUUUGUGAUGUCUGCUUAUGAAGAUGGUGUUUUGGAAGGUCUGUCUGUCUGUCUGUCUGUCUGUCUGUCUUUCUCUCUCUCUCUCUCUCUCUC